rnacentral:lncRNA from 1 species
ACCAACUCUGUGCACCAAAAAACUUGGACAAUUUUUCACCUUAAUGAAACUCCUAAGCUCGUAACAUCUUCGUUAUAAGUUCGAAUUGGCUCGUUCAAGAGCCUAUAGUUCACAAAUCACAUACUCUACGUGUUCAUGCAAGAAUUUUAUCUUUUUGACUUCGUUAACUCAAAAUUCACCUAUUGGUUCAUUUUUAACAAAAACGAUAAACGUUCGUGAACGUUCAACGCUCGUUUCUUUGUUCGAAGAUGGAAUCCAGUCAUUUUUGAGUCUGCGACUAUAUAAUGCCAAAUAAGACUUGUCUCUAUUGAAAACCAACGUUUCUGAGCUUAAACACAAAAUUCAACUUCCAUUCCGAGAAUUUCAUACAUUUAUCGUCAAAUCGUGUGAAUUCCGGCAAAACUUCGUUGCUAAUGAUUUGUUUAUCCUUCCAAAUGGAUUCAAUCCAUCAACUAGACAUCUUUACCUACAUAUUAUAACAACUUAUUUUUAACUUAGGUUAUGGAUUAUUCUUCAUAAGAUUAUAACUUAACAAAUUAUAAAUUACAAGAUUUCAUUUCUUAUGACUUUUUAUUGAUUCAAGUCUUUUAAUCAACAUUCUUACAUCUUAUUAACAUAUUAACUUCAUCCAUGUAAAUAUGUUAUAAGUUUAUAUAUGAUCAUCAUAAGUUCAUAACUUACUUAGGUUUAAAUUACUUAUUCAUGACUUAUACGGCUUAAGUCCAUUGAUUAUCCAAUUCUUAUGUGUUCUUAGCAUACAUGAACAUUAAUUCACACUUCUCUUAUUACCCUACAAUAGUAGAGAUGGAAGAUAUAAGAUCACAAGAUCAUUUACCUUUGAUGACUAGCUUUCUUCUUCUUGAAAAUCUAACAAUGGAAGUUUGACUUAUAAGUGCUUAUUCUCUCUAACACUUAAGUUGCUUUAUGUUGGAUGAAGUUAACAAACAAAUAAUGAAAUUUGAGCUUGCUAUUUAUAGGCUUUCUAAAGUUAGGGCACUUUGGUCAAAAUCACAUCCCACCUCCUUAGUAACCUCCUUACUAUUCAAUACUUAAGCUCUAAGUUUACUUGCUCUUCACCUUAAUUACUUAGCCACCACAACAAAUCCUUGGUCACCAAGAUCACCCAUGGGUUUCCCCAUGGAUCAAGCUUUACCCAUUGGAUCAUUAAUUGAGCUUAGGUCCACUUAGAUUAACUUAUUCCUUUGGGCUUGCAUUAAUUUACUUUGGGCUUCAUAUUAACAAACACUUGGGCUUUAACCUUAAUAAAUCUUAGGCUUGUACCAUACUUCUUAUUGGACUUGCACUUCAUACAAGAUCCCAUAAUUCCAUUUCAUUUGACUUUAACCCUUAACGUUCUCUAAUUAAGUCCACAUGCGAAAUAUUUCAUUUUUCAUACUUGAAUUAUUAUUACAUAAUCCAUCUCACCUUGUUAUUCUAACGUUACGUAUUUCUCGGAAGUUCAAAAAUAAUUCCCGAGCAGAAAAUGAUGAAUAGUGUUUUUCAGAAAAUUUCUCAGAAAUCGUUUAUUUUUGUCUUGGAAAUUCAAAC